GAUGAACGCUGGCGGCGUGCUUAACACAUGCAAGUCGAACGGACAGAGAGGGAGCUUGCUCCCCCCGCGUCAGCGGCGAACGGGUGAGUAACACGUGGGCAAUCUGCCCAUAACUCUGGGAUAAGUGUGGGAAACGAGAGCUAAUACCGGAUAAUAUGCUGGAGAGCAUCCUCCACUAGUGGAAGGCGGUUCUGAUGUCGGUUAUGGAUGGACCCGCGGCCCAUUAGCUUGUUGGAAGGGUAACGGAGCACCAAGGGGACGAUGGGUAGCCGGCCUGAGAGGGUGACCGGCCACACUGGGACUGAGACACGGCCCAGACUCCUACGGGAGGCAGCAGUGGGGAAUAUUGCACAAUGGGCGCAAGCCUGAUGCAGCAACGCCGCGUGAGGGACGACGGCCUUCGGGUUGUAAACCUCUUUUAGCAGGGAAGAAGCGAAAGUGACGGUACCUGCAGAAAAAGCACCGGCUAACUACGUG
rnacentral:rRNA from 1 species